GCAAGUCGAACGGCAGCACGGGAGCAAUCCUGGUGGCGAGUGGCGAACGGGUGAGUAUAUAUCGGAACGUGCCCAGUCGUGGGGGAUAACGUAGCGAAAGCUACGCUAAUACCGCAUACGAUCUAUGGAUGAAAGCGGGGGAUCGCAAGACCUCGCGCGAUUGGAGCGGCCGAUAUCAGAUUAGGUAGUUGGUGAGGUAAAGGCUCACCAAGCCGACGAUCUGUAGCUGGUCUGAGAGGACGACCAGCCACACUGGGACUGAGACACGGCCCAGACUCCUACAGGAGGCAGCAGUGGGGAAUUUUGGACAAUGGGCGCAAGCCUGAUCCAGCAAUGCCGCGUGCAGGAUGAAGGCCUUCGGGUUGUAAACUGCUUUUGUACGGAACGAAACGGUAAGCUCUAAUACAGUUUGCUAAUGACGGUACCGUAAGAAUAAGCACCGGCUAACUACGUG
rnacentral:rRNA from 1 species